rnacentral:rRNA from 1 species
ACCAGGCAGUCGCACGGGCACACGCGUGGCCUCGUUGUUUCACUGACGAGUGGGAGAUGGGUGAGGAUGUGUGGGAAACUGCCGGAUGGGGGGGGAUAUCUACGGGCAACGGUGCCUAACCCCGCAAAAAGUCUGACCACCAGGGAUGGGGACCUUAGGGCCUCUGGGGGCUGANGUGCCUCUCCAGGAUUAGCUGGACAGUGGGGUAACGGCUCACCUGGGCCACAAUGCCUGGCUGGUUUGAGAUGAUGACCACCCACACUGGAACUGAGACACGGUCCACAUUCCUACGGUUGGCAGCGUUGUGGAAUUUUGCACUCUGGGCCCAAGCCUGAUGCAACCAUGCCGCGAGUAUGAAGAACGCCUUCGGGUUGUCUUGACUUUCANCGAGGAGGAAGGGAUUAUUGUUAAUACCUUUGCUCACUGCCAUUACCCGCAGAACAAAUUCCGGGGAACUCUCUGCCACCCGCCGCGGUAAAACGGAGGGUGCAUGAGUUAAUUCGAAUUACUGGGCGUACAGCACAUGCACGCNGCUUUUUCACUUCCAUACCAAAUCCCCGGGAUCCCCCUGGGAACUGAUCUGCUACUGGSAARCUUGAGUCUCGUAGAGUGGGGGUMGAAUUCCWGCGUKUASCGGUGAARUGCSUASAGMUYUGGARGAAUACCGAGAUGCKCSAAGKCGGCCCCCUGRACGAAKACUGACGCUCAUGUGUGCGARWGCGWGUGGGAGCAAACAGGAUUAKMUAGCCAUGGUAGUCCACGCYGWAAACGAUGUCGACWUGGAGGUUCGUGCCSUWSAGGCGUGRCWUCCGGAKCUAACKCGUUAAGCUCGACCGCCUGGGGAGUACGGCCGCAAGGUUAAAACUCAAAUGAAUUGACGGGGGCCCGCACAAGCGGUGGAGCAUGUGGUUUAAUUCGAUGCAACGCGAAGAACCUUACCUGGUCUUGACAUCCACGGAAGUUUUCAGAGAUGGAAAUGUGCCUUCGGGAACCGUGAGACAGGUGCUGCAUGGCUGUCGUCAGCUCGUGUUGUGAAAUGUUGGGUUAAGUCCCGCAACGAGCGCAACCCUUAUCCUUUGUUGCCAGCGGUCCGGCCGGGAACUCAAAGGAGACUGCCAGUGAUAAACUGGAGGAAGGUGGGGAUGACGUCAAGUCAUCAUGGCCCUUACGACCAGGGCUACACACGUGCUACAAUGGCGCAUACAAAGAGAAGCGACCUCGCGAGAGCAAGCGGACCUCAUAAACUGCGUCGUAGUCCGGAUUGGAGUCUGCAACUCGACUCCAUGAAGUGGGAAUCGCUAGUAAUCGUGGAUCAGAAUGCCACGGUGAAUACGUUCCCGGGCCUUGUACACACCGCCCGUCACACCAUGGGAGUGGGUUGCAAAAGAAGUAUGUAGCUUAACCUUCGGGAGGGCG